UUCUUCAAACCUUUCUUUGUUUGGUGUUAUUAUGAUAUCAGAACUGCUAACUAGCAGUCUCUUGAUCCGCCACCUUCACCAUGACUAGAGAAACCUCACCUCCCCUCCACUCUUUCCUUAGUUCCUCAGCCUUUAUUUUCCCUUCCUUUUUGCACAUAGUGACCAUCAAACUUAACUCAAAUAACCAUCUCCUAUGGCGUGUCCAGAUUUCAACUUACCUCAGAGGUCUCUAUUCAUACAUCGAUGGUACUCAACCUAUACCUCCUGCCCUUGUUUCCUCCUCUACUAAUCCAAAUCCAACCUAUCAAUCUUGGCGGAAAACCGACCAACUCAUCCUUAGUAUACUCUUUUCUUCUCUUUCGGAGCCUAUCAUUGGUCAUGUUAUCAAAUCAACCACCUCCAGAGAUCUCUGGAAAACUCUUGAAUCCAUGUUCAGUUCCUACUCUCAAGCCAAGGAAUUUCAGAUUAGAUUUUAACUUACCAACCUUUCUCGUGGUGACCAACCAAUAUCAGAGUAUUUCAAUAAAGUUCGAAUGCUUUUCGACACCAUUUCUACCACUGGUACUCCCCUCUCAGAAAAAGAACUUGUGACUUACCUGUUGAAUGGUCUUGGACCCACCUAUGAAGGCUUCAUCACAUCCAUCACCACCCGUAUUGACCCAAUCACCGUAAUUGAAUUCUAUCAUCUCCUCCUCAUCCAUGAAAAUCGUCUGUCCUAUACUUCCCGUAAUCAUCUCACUGAACCUUCCGUCAACUUCACCUCUGGAAUUUCUCGUGAUAAUAGAGGCAGACCACCCAACCGUGGCCAACGUUUUCAUAGAGGACGAAAUAGAUUCUCUCAAACCCGAGGGCGUUCGUCACCUUCAAAUCAAUUCAACCCACAGCCUUACUAGUCAAACAGACCCACCUGCCAAGUCUGUAGCAAACCAGGCCACGUUGCUCUUCAGUGCUACUUCUGUUUUGAUCAUGCUUACCAGUAUGAACCACCUCGUUCCUUCUCAGCAAACUACACCUCACCUUCUCUCAUGACAGAUUCUUCCUGGUACCCAGAUUCCGGAGCCAAGCAUCACAUUACAAAUGAUCUUUCACACCUUAACAUAUCAUUGGAACCAUAUGGAGGAGCAGAACAGAUUCGCGUCGGGAACGGUACUGGUUUGCCUAUUAGUAACAUUGGUGAACCCUCUUUCAAAACUCAUUCGUCCUCUUUCACUCUUUCUAAACUACUUCAUGUACCAUCAAUAACAAAGAAUCUUGUCUCUGUUUCUCAGUUUUGCAAUAACAACUCAUGUUUUUUUGAAUUUCAUUCCACCUAUUUUCUGGUUAAGGACAAAGCGACAGGAACGCUCCUCAUCAGCGGCCCUCUUCGUGAUGGACUCUACCAGUUCCCAUCACCACUACCCUCCUCCAGUCCCUCCACUUACAUCGGCGAACGCGUCUCUCUCAGCCACUGGCAUAGGUGAUUGGGCCAUCCUUCCAUUGAUCUGGUCUCUUGCAUUGUUCACGCCAACCAUUUACCUUAUUUCCCGAAUGACUCUGCUUUUCAUUGUUUUGAUUGCCCAUUAGCAAAAUCACAUCAGUUACCAUUUUAUCCUAGUACCACUCGGACCACUAAACCAUUGCAACUUAUUUGGGCUAGUGUAUGGGGUCCAACCCCUUUAUUAUCAAGAAAUGGGUUUCAGUAUUAUUUGUCAAUUGUGGACCACUUUCACGCUACACUUGGUUAUUUCCCAUUCAGCUCAAAUCAGAUGUAUUACAACAAUUUGAAUCAUUCAUCAACUUUGCCAAAAGGUUUUUUAAUACUAAAAUGAUAACCAUUCAAACAGAUGCUGGUGGGAAAUUUCGUCCCUUAACUUCCUUGUGCAAAACACUUGGAAUUUCUCACCGUUUUUCUUGUCCCCAUACUCACCAAUAGAACAAACUUGUUGAACGUAAACACCGCCACAUAGUAGAAACUGGACUCACUCUUCUCUCCCAAGCAUCACUCCCCCUUUCUUUUUGGGAUGACGCUUUUCAAACUGCCACAUACUUAAUAAAUCUACUUCCCACACCAGUCCAUAAUAAUAAAUCUCCACAUUACAUUAUUCAUCACACAUCUCCCGAUUACUCAUUUUUAAAAAUUUUUGGUUGCCUCUGCUGGCCCAAUCUCAGGCCCUACAAUCGUCACAAACUAAACUAUCGAUCCACUCCUUGUACCUUCCUUGGUUACAGCCCUUCACAUAAAGGAUACAAAUGCCUUGAUUCAAAGAAUCACAGAUUAUAUAUUUCUUGAGAUGUAACCUUUGCUGAAGAUAUUUUUCCUUACUCCAAACAAACAAACCCGGCCCCUCAACCCAGCUCACCUACCAUACCCUUACAUACUUUUCCCAUCCAUACUCGGCCCUCGUCCAGUAUCAAACCCUACUCAGCCACCCGAUACACCCACUCAGCCAAAUUCCAUACUCGGCCCACGUCCCUCACCUAGCCCAACUAAUCUUCCUACCUCACAAUCUACUCCACGUGACCCUUCUUCAUCUCAGCCCAUCAUCCUUCCAUCUGAUGUCACUAAUCCAGAAACUUCAUCUUCCUCAUCCUUACCUCACGACCAGACCUCCAUUCCACCAGAACAAACUCAAUCUCCGUUACUUCCUCCUCGGUCUCAGAUCAUCACACGUUCCCAAACCAAUUCUUCUAGACCUCGGCAAUUUACUGAUGGCACAGUACCUUUCCCCCCUCGUCGCUGUCUUCUCUCCACUGCAACAAUUCCGGAUGAACCCUCCUCUUUCACCACAGCUUCAAAAUUUCUUGAAUGGCGUCAAGCCAUGUCCCAUGAGUUUGAUGCAUUGGUUCACACUAACACGUGGACUCUAGUUCCACAUUCUUGUGCUUCUAAUGUAGUGGGAUGCAGAUGGGUCUUCAAGACCAAGCUACGGGCAGACGGCUUCAUCGAAAGGCGAAAAGUUAAACUCGUUGCAAAGGGGUUCCACCAACAACCCGGAAUUGACUACACGGAAACGUUCAGUCCUAUGGUCAAGCCAUCCACCAUCAGACUUGUUCUUUCCGUCGCUAUCUCUCACCGUUGGCCACUGCGGUAGAUCGACAUUCAGAACUUUUUUCUACACGGCGAACUCUCGGAAGCAGUCUUUAUGCAACAACCACCUGGAUUCAUCGACUCCAACAAACCUGACUUCGUCUGUAAGCUCAACAAAACCCUUUACGGACUCAAGCAGUCCCCUCGUGCAUGGUUUGAGAAAUUACGUUCCUGGCUUCUCAGCUAUGGCUUUUCAGCAUCUCAAGGUGACCCAUCCCUCUUUUUUCUUCAUAAGAAUAGCCUCUGCAUUUUCGUUUUAGUCUACGUUGACGAUAUGGUUAUUACGUCCUCAUCACCUGUUGCGGUUGAUACUCUAAUUUCUGCACUCAGUCACGCUUUCCUUGUCACUGAUCUCGGCAAAAUUUCAUACUUUUUGGGGUUAGAAUUGACAUACAUGCCCGAUGGAAUUUUAAUGUCACAAAAAAAAAUACAUCACAGACAUUUUAGCUCGAGCCAACAUGUUAGCUGCUAAUCCGAUCUCCUCUCCAAUGUCUGUCUCCACCAAACUGUCCAAGUUCGAUUCCCCGACCUUUGACAAUGUCACCUUGUUUUGGAGUGUGGUUGGAAGUUUGCAGUACCUCUCCCUGACCAGACCAGGCAUCUCUUUUUCAGUAAAUAAAGUCUGCCAAUUUAUGCAUGAUCCCAAACUCAGUCAUUGGACAGCAGUCAAGCGUAUCUUGAGAUACCUCAAACACACCAUCAACCACUGUUUCUUCUUCUCAUAUUGCUCCAAUCUGUCCCUUCAUGCCUACUCAGAUGCCGACUGGUCUGGUUGCCCAGACUAUCGACGUUCAAUAGGGGGUUUUUGCAUCUAUUUAGGACAUCACCUCAUUUCAUGGAGCUCUCGCAAACAACAUACAGUGGCUAGAUCCAAUACUAAGGCCGAAUAUAAGUCCCUAGCAAACACUAUUGUUGAGAUAAUUUCGUUACAAACUCUAAUCAAGAAACUUGGUCUCCCAUUAUCUAAAGCUCCAGUGUUAUGGUGUGACAACUUAAGGACGAUGUAUCUCACUGCCAACCCCAUAUAUCAUUCCCGUACUAAACACAUGGACAUAGACUUCUACUUUGUAAGGGAUAGAGUUGCCGCAAAAACACUUCAGGUCUCCUUCUGCAGUAGCAAGGAUCAACUGGUUGAUAUCUUUACAAAACUACUAGUGACAGAUAGAUUUGCAACACUAAUAGCGAGUCUCUCUGUGCGUGAACCCCCAGUGGACUCGAGGGGGCAUGUCAACCCAAGAAAAUCACUUAAGCAAUAUGACUCAGCAAAUGUGCUGGACACUGACUUUGAAGAUCACACCUCAGCAGAAGCUUCAGGAAUAUCACCGUGAUUUACAUUUUGUUAUUUUCUUUGGCAGCUAGUGUAACUGCAUUGAUUCUCUAAUAUUCCCUUCUAUUCCUCUGUACUCAAGUCUAUAAAUACGUAGACCUAUUACACUGUAAAGCAUAUUGUGAAAUGAAUAGAAUUCUUCAAGCCUUUCUUUGUCUGGUGUUAUUAAAGGUCAAACACCUCAACUCUUCAUUUUUCCCAUCAACAUUCAUAAGUUGUGACUUAAUUUUGAGUUUCAAAAACGUGUACAAUUUUCUUCCUCAAAUUAGCAGUGAAACAUCUGAUUUUCUCAGACUCGAUAACACAUCAAAAGCAACUAUUCCGUUAAGAGUUUCUCAAUGACGCAGUGUUUGCGGGAGCUAGGUACGACGAAGUAGCUUCGAUCUGGAAUCUUGAAGCUGCGUUUGGGCUUAUAAAAGGAUCGUACUUGAAGUAUUAUGAAACUAUGAAACUAUGAAAUUAAGUCACAUAUAUGAUAAAAGGAAAAGGAAAAUCUCCUUCAAAUUUCUGUGCAUGUGACAUUUUCUGGGAAAGCCAUGCUCCUACCGAUAAAGACUACUUAAACUUUGGACUAAGUACGCACCAAAGAUCUGCAAUCUGUUUACAACAACGAGCUGGAAGCUGAGAGAAAGAAAGCAUAGUCGAGGAGUCAAAGAUCAGGAAGCAGAUGAAUCUAAACAAGAUCAGGAUUGCCACCAAAAGUAUAAUAUCCUCGGCUGAUACAGGUUUUCUUCAUGGCAGAAAACCAACAUCAGAAGUAUUACCAGCAGAUCAAAAGUUGUACGUACAGGCUGUGUGAAAGAAAGUUUGGGUCUGCGAAGCACAGUCCAAUUUGUGGAGUCAAACAUUGCCGGCAAACUCAAUGGGUAAGAACUUUUUGUAUUAAUGAAUUUGCUGCCACGAGUAUUGUUGUCAGUGGACAAAGUAGUUGGAAGAUGGAUCAUCAUGUAUUGGAAAAUUUAGGAGAUGCUCAAAAUCUCUGAAAGCCAUCAUGUAUUGGAAAGCAUAUUUUUGGGUUCCAAUUUCCAAAGACAAAACUCACAGAUUUGGUUGGACUCGUAGAUUUUUAUUAAUUCCAGUGGUAAAAAGAACUUCCGCGUGCGGCACCACGACAUGCACCAGAGAACAUGGAGCAUGUUCAUUGCAAAGCAUAAUGCUAGCUUUUGUUACCAAGAAGCAUUUGGACCACAUGAUCCAAAAUUAAAGAUUGGGUUUUGUACCAGACGAUUUGUUUUUAAUUGUUUUUUCAUUUAAGUAGUUCCCUAUUACAACAGUCUGAUAAGUAUACUGAUCAGCUACCAGGCCAGUCAAUUAGGGUCCAUGUUGCUUUUGCCAUAAGAAAACCCAAUAAGAAAUUGAACCAUUAUUAGUCUA